rnacentral:RNase_P_RNA from 1 species
GGGGCAAUCGCGCGGUAUGGUGCCGAAAGGUAUUACCGUGAGGAAAGUCCGGGCCUCACAGGGCAGGAUAACGGAUAACGUCCGCCGAGGGUGACCUCAGGGAAAGUGCAACAGAAAUAAACCGCCGCUUUUGCGGUAAGGAUGGAAAGGUGAGGUAAGAGCUCACCCGUUCCUAUGGUAACAUAGGUCCGCUGUAAACCCUAUCCGAUGCAACACCUCAGAACUUGAUUUUUUCAAUCGGCUGCCCGCCGAAGUCUUUGUGGUGGCAGAGCCGUAAGGCUUGAACCGUGCAGUAAUGUGCGGUGAAGAUAGAUGAUUGCCACGUGCAAAACACGUACAGAACCCGGCUUACAAGCUCAGUCAUCAA